rnacentral:rRNA from 1 species
GUGUGCGCUAGUCUUGAAGAUUAAGCCAUGCAAGCUCGGGAAGCGCAAGUGGACCGGCACACAGCUCAGUAAUACAGUUACAAUUUACUCGUGGACCAAAGGAUAACCGUGGUAAGCUACGGCUAAAACAAGGAUAGACUGUGACGGCAAUCGCAGAGAAGAAAAACUCCACGACUAAGUUUCUGGCCUAUCAGCUCGUAGGUAGUGUAAGGGACUACCUAGGCAAUAACGGGUAACGGGAAAUGAUCGUUUGACACCGGAGAGGGAGCCUGAGAAACAGCUCCCACGUCUAAGGAUGGCAGCAGGCGCGAAAAUUACCCAAUGCAAGAAGUGAGGUAGUGAAGAGACGUGCAAUAGCAGAAGCUAGCGGUAAACAUGCUAGCGGGAACUGGAGGGCAAGUCUGGUGCCAGCAGCCGCGG